CUGAUGACUGUGCUUGCACAAAGGAAGAAGAAUCUAUUAGCGACCCGCAAGAACAUGAGUAUGGAGCAUGAUAAUGCGAAAUACGAAUGUUCUCAGGAUUGUGGAAGCGUAAGCGGAACAAUCCGUG
rnacentral:sRNA from 1 species